rnacentral:rRNA from 1 species
UACGAAGGGGGCUAGCGUUGCUCGGAAUCACUGGGCGUAAAGGGUGCGUAGGCGGAUGAUUAAGUCAGAGGUGAAAGCCUGGAGCUCAACUCCAGAACUGCCUUUGAUACUGAUUGUCUUGAGUUCGAUAGAGGUGAGUGGAACUCCGAGUGUAGAGGUGAAAUUCGUAGAUAUUCGGAAGAACACCAGUGGCGAAGGCGGCUCACUGGAUCGAUACUGAUGCUGAGGCACGAAAGCGUGGGGAGCAAACAGG